rnacentral:rRNA from 1 species
GAUGAACGCUAGCUACAGGCUUAACACAUGCAAGUCGAGGGGCAGCAUGGUCUUAGCUUGCUAAGGCCGAUGGCGACCGGCGCACGGGUGAGUAACACGUAUCCAACCUGCCGUCUACUCUUGGACAGCCUUCUGAAAGGAAGAUUAAUACAAGAUGGCAUCAUGAGUCCACAUGUUCACAUGAUUAAAGGUAUUCCGGUAGACGAUGGGGAUGCGUUCCAUUAGAUAGUAGGCGGGGUAACGGCCCACCUAGUCUUCGAUGGAUAGGGGUUCUGAGAGGAAGGUCCCCCACAUUGGAACUGAGACACGGUCCAAACUCCUACGGGAGGCAGCAGUGAGGAAUAUUGGUCAAUGGGCGAGAGCCUGAACCAGCCAAGUAGCGUGAAGGAUGACUGCCCUAUGGGUUGUAAACUUCUUUUAUAAAGGAAUAAAGUCGGGUAUGGAUACCCGUUUGCAUGUACUUUAUGAAUAAGGAUCGGCUAACU